CUGAGCUCUCUCAGUAACACAAAGAUGCUUUAUCCAACUUAUCUGCUGUGUUUAUUGUUGUGCUAUAUUCAGUGUUCCUGUGGACAGAUUGUGCUGACUCAGUCCCCAGAUGUCACUGUGUCACCAGGUGAAAGUGUCACCAUGACAUGUGGAGCCAGUACUGGCAUUAGCAGCAACUUACACUGGUACCAACAGAAAUCAGGACAACCACCAACGCUUCUUAUUUAUUAUGCAACCAGCAGAGCCACAGGGACCCCAGACAGGUUCAGCGGCAGUGGUUAUGGUACUGAUUUCACUCUCACUAUCAGCGGAGUGCAAGCAGAAGAUGCAGCAGAUUAUUACUGUCAGCAGGUACAGAGCUUCCCUCUCACUUUUGGGAAAGGGACCAAGGUAGAAAUCAAACGAAGAGAAAAUAAAAAGCCUGCUGUAAACAUAUUCCGCCCAUCAGAGGAUCAUAUUGCAACUGGAAAACCAUCUCUUGUAUGCACAAUAAAUGGAUUCUAUCCAGGAAAUGCCGAAGUAAUAUGGAAGGUAGAUAACAACGUGAUCAGUAGUGGAGUAGACACAAGCGACAAUAUGCCUGACGAGGAUAACACAUAUAGCAAGAGCAGUGUUCUCACACUAUCCGCAGACACGUGGAAUAGGUCUGAUUUAUAUACAUGUGAGGUGAAACAUGAAACUCUGUCAGGGCCGUUAAGUACAAGUUUCAAGAAAUCAGAAUGUUCUGCAUAGAAGGAGUCUUGACAAAUGAUAUAUUCUAACCUUUUGAAUCACAUUUUUCUUUUGUGCUAUUUAAUUCAUUCUGUGCCAGAAGAUCUUAAUCUAUAUCAAUUAACAAAAUGAUAAAGGUUUCUAUGACUUAGAGGUCAUAGAAAGAGGGGACAAAAAUAAAAACUACAGUUUUUGAUUUGCAAUACUUUUCAUAAAGUUCAAUGUUUUCUGCAAAUGUCUGUAUUACUGUAUGGCUCUUUGAACUAUGAAUUAAAUAUUAUCUGCUUUUAUAAUUAGAAAAAUAAAUAAAAAAUAAUCUGCUUUUGAAUAA